UAGGGAAUCUUCGGCAAUGGGGGGAACCCUGACCGAGCAACGCCGCGUGAGUGAAGAAGGUUUUCGGAUCGUAAAGCUCUGUUGUUAAGGAAGAACGAGUGUGAGAAUGGAAAGUUCAUACUGUGACGGUACUUAACCAGAAAGGGACGGCUAACUACGUGCCAGCAGCCGCGGUAAUACGUAGGUCCCGAGCGUUGUCCGGAUUUAUUGGGCGUAAAGCGAGCGCAGGCGGUUAGAAAAGUCUGAAGUGAAAGGCAGUGGCUCAACCAUUGUAGGCUUUGGAAACUGUUUAACUUGAGUGCAGAAGAGGAGAGUGGAAUUCCAUGUGUAGCGGUGAAAUGCGUAGAUAUAUGGAGGAACACCAGUGGCGAAGGCGACUCUCUGGUCUGUAACUGACGCUGAGGCUCGAAAGCGUGGGUAGCAAACAGG
rnacentral:rRNA from 1 species